rnacentral:rRNA from 1 species
UACAGAGGUCUCAAGCGUUGUUCGGAUUCAUUGGGCGUAAAGGGUGCGUAGGUGGCGCGCUAAGUCAGGUGUGAAAUUUCGGAGCUUAACUCCGAAACUGCAUUUGAUACUGGCGUGCUUGAGGACUGGAGAGGAGACUGGAAUUCACGGUGUAGCAGUGAAAUGCGUAGAUAUCGUGAGGAAGACCAGUGGCGGAAGCGGGUCUCUGGACAGUUCCUGACACUGAG